UCUUAUCAUCUUCUUGAAUUUUUCUCACAGAUUUAAUAUUUUAUUUUCUCUCGUUCCAUUCAUAUUUUUUUUUUUGCAUUUACUCGUGAGCAUGUUCUUUUUUGCAUUUACUCGUGAGCAUGUUUAAUUUCUACUAUCUGUUUAUAAAAUUCUCUAUUGCUAGUUGUUUACUGAUCUCUUGAAUAGCAUUCAUCUGUAUCAUUUAGAUUGAUCUCGCUUUAGUCUCGUAUCAAUCAAUCACACC
rnacentral:lncRNA from 1 species